CUACCCAGGCAGUGUGCAGCUGGUGUUCAAGUGUCCAGAAUGGUUCCUAGCAGAAACCUCCAUGCUAUGUGCAAUGACACAGUUAAUGAGUUUUGACAGGUACUUGACUAGCUGGGCAGUGCUGGAAGAAAGGGUUUUUUGGUUGCUCUACUGGAUAAAAGGACUUAAGCUCCACCAGUUUCGGCACUGGGAUUCAGAAGAAUGACCUGUCGAGCUGUGCUUCCAAGAGACGAAAAAGGAAUCAAUACUGCAAGAGAAAGAGAGGAAAAGAGCACAUGAAGAGCAUAUCAUGGAAAUGUUUUGCAGUGGAUAUUGUCUGGAUGAUAAAACAAUGCCAAAGAUGUUUGAACAGAUGCUACUGGCAAAGAACACGUAAUUACAUACCUGGAAAUUGGUACUGACUUACACAGAGAAGAUUAAUGCAAUGUCUUGGUUAGAUGGAGCCUGUUUAAAUUACCAGUUUGGAUGUGAAAAGUUGUUUGCUACUGUUUGUGAAAGCUGUAAAUUAAAUCUUAAAUCUACACAUAACAUGUUAUUUUUGUCUUGAUCCAGCUCCAAAUUUUCAAAAUAGAUCACCACUAUUUUUCUCAGGGAACAAUGAGAGGAAAAAGUAAGUCUUCAAAAUCAAUAAACCUACACAAGGCAGAUUUGCAUGCUAGCCAGAAAAAAAAACCAAACCAUAAGGUGCUUAUGAAGAGCCAAUAUGAUGAUUUGUCCAACUGCCUAAGAAGAACAGAAGCUAAAACAAAAAGCUUGUAGUACUUGGGUCCUCCUUUUCAUCUUCUUUUAAUGGCAGAUUUUUCUUUGUCUGGUCUUUUGAUAUCAUAUUUCUUUCCCACAGUAUCCUUAAUAUGACUCUUUAUAGCUCUAAAAAAUUAUCAGCCAUUCUUUAAGUACCUAAUGGUGCUAAAUUCGUCUUAAUCUAAAAUUUAAUCCUAUUCAUGGAAACAAUCUAUUGUCCUUACCCUCAUUUUUAUGUCACCUAAGGUAAGUUUACUCCCACUUAAAUGAAUGAACAUUUUGUUAUUGUCAAUAGUUUUGCCACUUAGCGACUUGUUUCAGUCCCUUAGCUGUGACUUGUUUAUCAUACUUAUAAAACAGAGGAAAAAUACUCAGAGGUUAUAAAAGUUAUAAAUGAACUACUCUUAAUAAGUGACAUGGAUAUUCCCAGAUUUGAGUUAUUAUCUAAGUCCCAGUUUUUAUUAUUAUCAACAAAAGAAAUGUCAACAGUUGACAUGAAUUCUAAAAGGAAAGUAUCUGUGAUUAAUGAAUGAUAAAAUGUCUUCAGUUUCACUUGCUGAAAUUCAAGCAUCUUCUAAAUGAGACAUUUAUGAAAAGAUUGAUUGAAAGGUGGUAAUGGAAAAUCUGUAAUGUUCAUGGAUUCAAUUAUGAACCAUUAAGACAAGCCAAUUGUGAGAACAAACCUAAGGGGAAAUUUAUACAUAAGCAUUACCUGAAAUGCUUGGUCAGCAGGAGGCCAGCAACUUCUCUUGGAAAUAUCUACUUCAUUAACUUUAUUGCUUUUGUUUUUGGGUCUAUUUGGGACAGAUUCCAAAAUCUUGCUAAAUGUCACAACCAGUUUGUAAAUAAUGGCCUACAGUGCAAGUCUGUGCAGUGCAGAAGCUGGAUGUACAAGUUUAAUUCAAGAAAAUCAUGAGGAUGAAAUGAGAUUUGGAUUGGAUGAUCUCAAAAUAUCCCUUCCAACCUAAAGGAUUUUGUGAAUCGAGAGAUGUUUUCUCUCAUAACUAGCGAAAAAAUUGUAGUCCAAGUAAUGCUGAAAGCAGACAGUGGAUCCUCUAAUUUCAUUCUCUAACUUCAAAAUAGCUACUUCUGGUUAUUAUUCUUUAGCCUAAAGUCAUCCUUAAAAACAACUUUUACAUUUCUGGAGAGUGAGUCAUAACUGAUGGAAGAUAAUAUUACCACUUUUUUUGUUUCCAUUUUUUUCUAACUUAAGUUCUUUGUUUUUACACAAAGUAAUGAAAGUUGCCUGCCUGUUUGAAGUGGUUUCAAGCCUGCAGAGCUGUGCUUCAGAGCCGCACAAACAAUAAGUAUGUCUAACACACAGUAAGAAUGCUUCAGACAUACACCUCUUCAGCCUGACUUAGGAGCCACUAGUGCUCAACCUCUUGACACAUUUAGGUGUCUGAGUCAGUGUCAGUUUAGCAUACUUUCUUCUGGAUAGCAUGUCAAAUGAGUUAGAAAUGUUUCACUCUUAUCAUGAGGCUGCUCAAAGCAAAAAAUUAGAUGAAAGUACGUCAUUGCAGUUCCUUGGUUAUAAAAUUAUGAAAUCAAAGUGGUAGAGACCUUUCAGCAAGGUCCUCUUAAUUCCUUUGGUAGAGUGUUGUUGCUGAAAGAAUGUUAUUCUAAGUAAAGACACUACAUCAUUUUUGACCUGAACAAGGAUUUAAAGAGUUCAUCUUCAUUGCUAGAACACGGACAAAAGCUGUGGUCAGUUAAUGUAGUCUGCAAGACCAGGAAAUUAUAACUAGCUCCCAAAUGUCUCUCAGUCCAACUCUCCCAGUUUCUGUGAGCAGUUUCAAAUUCAAUUAAGUGAUAAUUUUUUCAAAAUGCCAGGUCUGAAGCAUCUUGGUUAUGUCUUUCUCAACUUUCACUGAAGUUUGAGCAGUUGAAAUAAUUUUCAGUUUGCUGCAUUAAGGAGAUACUGUGGCUGAGUAAAUCUUUUAUUGCAGUGUAAAGUACCAAAAAAAAAAAAAUAGGACUUGAUGAUUAAAGCAGCAGUAACUAUGCUCCAAUUCUUUAAAAUUCAGACCACGUAAAGACAAACUAUCAAAUCUAUUUGAUUCUUUUUCCUUCUUCCUCCUCCCCUUCAUCUCUUUCUCAUUCAUCAUCACUCCCCCACUAGAUAAAAGUUUCAACAGACUGUCCAAAUAUUUCUAUUUUUCUGCGUUACUUUCUAAAUCAUGUCAUUUUUUUUCUACAGAAUGAAUGCUUUAAUUCAUGCCAUCCGAAUUUCCGAAUCUUUUACCUCAAUUAAAGCAAAAAAUUGCCAACAUCUGUUCAAAACCUGGUCCUAUUUCUCUGCUUUCAAUCAGAAAUUUUACUCAUUUAGUUUAAAACUAAAUUGCAUGCUUCACAAAACAUGCUUUAACUGAGCUAGUACUAAGUUCAGUGUUUUAGAAAAAUGCAUAACUGGAGUUAUAUUGGAGAGGGGAAUUUUAACUACAGCAUUAAUUACCUGAGGAAUAAGAAUAGCAGCAAAUUUUGAGUGACAUUACAUCAUGCUUCAGAAAACAAAAUAUUUUUUACUGAAUGCCACCAAUGUCAUUGUCUGCUUUGAUGUCUAGAAUUUUUAAAUUGGACUCAGCUGGGUUGUUUCAUGAUUUUUAUUUUUUCUUGAAGGAAAGUAUCAUGAAAAUGUUUUACAUAUGCUUUUUCAGACUGAAGUUCUAUCACACAAAAAAAUGACUCACAAGCUUGCACUUCACGGCCCUCUUAUCCUGUCUUCAGGUUUUGGCUUUGGCUAAAAUAUAGGAUAACCAGUAACUCAUAAUUGUUUGAGAAUUGGCUACAAAUGAAUAAUAAAAUGAUAAACAA
ensembl:lncRNA